rnacentral:lncRNA from 1 species
GAAGGUGCCAGUAGUUGAUGGGCAUCCGAGGGAGAGACAGUGUUCUGCGCACUUCUUUAUAAAGGAGUGGGUACGUCUUAGAAUAUUCAACACUCUGCAAGACUUAAAAAGGAAAAUUGCAUAACGUGUUAAUUCUCAACCCCUUUCGGACUACGAUAGGGGUCGUGAUCGUGUUAUUGUGAAUCGCGUGUGAUUUAUAAAGUGAAUGAAACUUAUGGACACAAUGGUGCCACUCUGGCAACCAAUAUAAAUCGCAACCAUUGCAAUGGAUAACAAACACUGAAAAUCUUCUAAAUAAAAAAAAGUGCAAUACUAAAGUGAAGUGACUCAACAUCAGAGAAGAAGAAAAAAAAAAAUCAUAAAUAGAAAAGAAAACGAAAAGAAAUAAACGACCCAACAGAAAA